AUUUUCACUAAAAGAGAAAACAGCACUUAUCGAACAUUGUAUUGACCACGACCACCGUUUCGAUAUGGAUCACGUAACAGUAUUAGACAGUAGCAACCACAUAAAUACACUUACCUUUUUGGAAAUGUGUCAUAUCACUAAUACACCACAUACAGUAAACCAUCGCACAGAUAUUAGUAGCUUAAAUUCAACAUACGCAGCCAUCCUACAAACCAUAUAUGAAACAUUUCAAGAUCGUCAAAUUUCAAGUCAACCACCAUCUUCGAACCAACCGUUACCGCCUUCAGAUGUGUAGUGCAGUUAAAGUGGCUAUAUUAAGUGAAAUUCAAAGAAAAGUUGCUACGUUUCACUUAAUACUAUAUCCCAUGUACAAAUUCCAAAACCUUGACACCAACAGUUAUAUGUUAACAUACACGAAGAACGAUUAAGUAGAAUGUAAGUGAACGAACAUAACAUGUAACAAAACAAAUAACAUUCCCCUAAUUACAGUAUCCCCAGAAGAAGACUCGAUUCUGAGUCGAAACGUCGGGAAAAA